CUCAAGCAUCACUGCAGGUAGCUUUGUGUUUAACACAAAAAUACGAAGAAAAACCAAAUGAGUGGCUACCAUCUCGUUUUAUCUUACCUGAUCAUUUUUGUAUAUGUAUUUUAAUACCAUGGCUUACAUUUGCAGUGAGUUUUGAAUUCAAUUCCUUAUCCAGAACAAGCCCACUUACAGUAGCUGUGGGCAUGGCAGCAACAGGGGCAGUAGCAACCCACCAAUUAAGCCAUUCAUGGGCUUCUCAUAGCAGAAAAACCCACAGCAAGUUGUAUUUCUCAAGCCCACGCCAAUGCCUUAGAAAGAAUAAAAUAAAUACCAGAGGCAGGGGUAGAGACAGAGGCAGAGACAUCUUUUGCAGAGUGGCGAUUUCCAAUGCAGAGACGAAAGAUAGAGAGACAAUGAUGGAAGAAAUUGAAUUAAUGAGGGAAAGAGUAGAUGAAAAUCCAAUGGAAGGCGUGGAAUUCACUCUCGAAGAGUUUGCCGCUGCUAUCGAUGAACUGGACAUUAAUCACGACAUCGGUACUAAGGUUAGAGGAAUGAUAAUUAUGGCAGAUCCAAGUGGGGUCUUGGUUGACAUCAAUGGAAAGGGUCCCGCAUUUUUGCCUGUAGAGGAAUCGUGUCUGUAUGAGGUCAGGACCCCAGAAGAAAUAGGUCUUUUCCCGGGUGUGGAAGAGGAUUUUCUUAUCUAUGAUUAUGAUGAUAGAAAUAGCAGGAUGGUUCUAAGUCUGCAAGAAAUUCAGCAUGAUCUUGCAUGGGAACGAAUCAGACAAUUGCAGGCUGAGGAUAUUGUUGUCAUGGGCAAGGUGGUAGCUUCUAACAAAGGAGGACUUGUUGUACUUAUAGAAGGUGUCAGAGGGUUUGUCCCAUUUUCACAAUUGUCAACUAAUUUAACUUCAGAAGAGCUAAUUGGCAUGGAGAUACCUCUGAAAUUCAUGGAAGCAGAUGAGGAACAAUAUCGUCUUGUAUUGAGUAAUCGAAAAGCUGUGUCAGAUAACCAGGCUCCAUUGGGAAUUGGUUCUGUUGUUGUUGGAACAGUGCAAAGUAUAAAGCCUUAUGGUGCUUUUAUAGAUAUUGGAGGCAUUAAUGGCCUCUUGCAUGUCAGUCAAAUAAGCCAUGACCGUGUUUUAGAUGUUGGCACAGUGUUGCAGCCAGGUGACAGUCUUAAGGUGAUGAUACUCAGCCAUGAUCGUGAAAGAGGCAGGGUAUCCCUCUCAACAAAGAAAUUGGAGCCCACACCUGGUGAUAUGGUUCGCAACCCUAAGCUUGUGUAUGAAAAGGCUGAUGAGAUGGCUCAAACAUUUAGACAAAGAAUAGCUCAAGCUGAAGCCAUGGCUCGUGCUGAUAUGCUGCGGUUCCAACAAGAGGUUGGAUUGAGUCUUAGCUCAGAUGGGAUUUUGGGAACCUCGUCCUUGCCUGUUGACAGUCUAGGCCUUGAGGAUCUUCCUCCUGCAAAGGAAGACUAGAAAUGAUAGAAGUGCAAAGGUUCUCAUGUUAUGCAUGUUAAACAGUGGCUUGUUAUCUGCUUGUUUGAAAAGUUUCCCGAGAAAAUUCCUAUUUUAUUCUUUCAACUUACAAGGCCUCUGGUCAUCUUCAGUUUGUGGGAGAAGUUGGAUUUACUGACUUGAAAAUGUAGUAUACAUGUACACCUGUAAAGUUGCACAAGAAGGAUUAUUGAUUGUAAUAAAUUCAAAAGGGCAGCUUAAUUUUCAA